AGGUCGAACGGGAANACGAUGGGGAGCUUNCUCCCAGGGCGUCGAUGUGGCGGCCGGGGUGAUUAANACUUAGGNAUUCCGCCCAUUAGGGGGGGACCAUUAGGAGGAAAUUUGUAGCUAAUAGCGCAUACGCCCUACGGGGGAAAGCGGAGGACCUUUUGGGGCUUCGCGCUAAUGGAUGAGCCUAAGUCGGAUAGUUUGUGGGUGAGGAAAAGCCUCCCCAAGGGCGACGAUCCGGUAGCGGUCUGAGAGGACGACUCAGCCACCUUGGGGUUUGAGACNCGGCCCCAGAUUCUUUACGGGAGGGCAGCAGUGGGGGAAUAUGGGACAAGGGGCGCAACCNUGAUCCCGCCAUUGCCCGCGUGUGUGAAGAAGCCUGGGGGGUUGUAAAGCCCUUUCAGUAGAGAAGAAAAAGCCUACGGUUAAUACCCGUGAGUCUUGACGUAACCUACAGAAGAAGCACCGGCUAACUCCGUGCCAGCAGCCGCGGUAAUACGGAGGGUGCAAGCGUUAAUCGGAAUUACUGGGCGUAAAGCGCGCGUAGGCGGCUUUGUAAGUCGGAUGUGAAAGCCCCGGGCUUAACCUGGGAAUUGCAUUCGAUACUGCAGAGCUAGAGUAUGGUAGAGGGAAGUGGAAUUCCGGGUGUAGCGGUGAAAUGCGUAGAUAU
rnacentral:rRNA from 1 species